CAAUAGCGUAUAUUAAAGUUGUUGCGGUUAAAAAGCUCGUAGUUGGAUUUCUGCCUGAGGCAGCCGGUCCGCACUUAGUGCGUGUAUCUGGUUUGGUUUGGGCAUCCUCUUGGGAGUCGUUGCUGUGCUUAGUUGCAUGGUGCGGAAUUCAAGACGUUUACUUUGAGGAAAUUAGAGUGUUUCAAGCAAGCGCACGCCUUGAAUACAUUAGCAUGGAAUAAUAAGAUAGGACCUCGGUUCUAUUUUGUUGGUUUCUAGAGCUGAGGUAAUGAUUGAUAGGGAUAGUUGGGGGCAUUCGUAUUCCGUCGAGAGAGGUGAAAUUCUCAGACCAAUGGAAGACGAACCACUGCGAAAGCAUUUGCCAGGGAUGUUUUCACUGAUCAAGAACGAAAGUUAGGGGAUCGAAGACGAUUAGAUACCA
rnacentral:rRNA from 1 species